AAAUAAAUAAAUAAAAGGGUAUUAUGCAAUUUCUUACUUAUUAUGUGAGGGAGCCUCUUUUUUUUUUUUGAGACAGAGUCACGCUCUACCGCCCAGGCUGGAGUGCAGUGGCGCGAUCUCGGCUCACUGCAAGCUCCGCCUCCUGGGUUCACACCAUUCUCCUGCCUCAGCCUCCCAAGUAGCUGGAACUACAGGCGCUCACCGCCACACCCGGCUAAUUUUUUUUGUACUUUUAGUAGAGACGGGGUUUCACCAUGUUAGCCAGGAUGGUCUCGAUCUCCUGACCUCGUGAUCCGCCCGCCUUGGCCUCCCAAAGUGCUGAGAUUACAGGCGUGAGCCACCACGCCUGGCCAGGGAGCCUCUUUUUUAAUUUUAAUUUUUAAUUAUGGUAGAAUACACAUAACAAAAUUUACUAUCUUAACCAUUUUCAAGUGUACAAUUCAGUAGUGUUGUUUGUUCACAUUGCUGUGCAACCAAUUUCAGAACUUUUUUUUAUUCUUGCAAAAUAGAAACUCUGUACCCAUUAGAAAACUCCCCGUUUGCCCCUUUCUUGAAGUGCUUCUACUUUUCCUAUUGUUUGACUACUUUAGAUGCCUUACAUAAAUAGAAUCUCACAGUAUCUGUCUUUUUGUGACUGGCUUAUUUCACUUAGUAUCAUGAGAAUAUCAUAUGUCAGAAUUUGAUGCCUGAUAUUCCAUUGUAUAUCUAUACCACAUUUUGUUUAUCCAUUUUUCCACUGGUGGACACUUGGGUUGCUUCCCCUUUUUGGCUAUUGUGAAUAAUGCUGCUGUGAAUAUGAUUGUGCACAUAUCUCUUGGAGACUCUGCUUUCAAUUCUUUUUUUUUUUUUUUUUAGACGGAGUCUCGCUCUGCCGCCCAGGCUGGAGUGCAGUGGCACGAUCUUGGCUCACUGCAAGCUCCGCCUCCCAAGUUCACAAGUAGCUGGGACUACAGGCGCCUGUCACCACGCCCGGCUAAUUUUUUUGUGUUUUUAGUAGAGACGGGGUUUCACCGUGCUAGCCAGGAUGGUCUCGAUCUCCUGACCUUGUGAUCCACCCGCCUCGGCCUCCCAAAGUGUUGGGAUUACAGGCGUGAGCCACCACGCCUGGCCUCAAUUCUUUUAGAUACAUAAUGCAGAAUUUUCUGAUUGCUGGACCAUAUGGUAAUUCUAUUUUUAAUUUUUUGAGGAAUUGCCAUACUGAUCUUACAUUCCCACCAGCAGUGCACAAGGGUCUUAAUUUGUCUGUAUCUCUGCCAAAACUUUUUUUUUUUUUUUAGACUAGCCAUCCUAAUAGGUGUAAGGUGAUAUUUCAUUGCAGCCUUGAUUUGCUCUUCCCUAAUGAUAGAAAUGUUGAGCAAAUUUUUUAACGUGCUUGUUGGCCGUUUAUAUAUCUUCUUUGGAGAAAUGUCAGUUCAACUCCACUCAUUUUUAAAUUGGGUUAUUUGUGUUUUUUUGCUGUUGUUAAGUUUUGGGAGUUCUUUACAUAUUCUGGAUAUGAAUUCCUUUUCAGAUAUAUGAUUUACAAAUCUUUUCUCCCAUUCUGUUGGUUGCUUUUUCACUAUAUUGAUUGUGUCCUUUGAUGAACAUACAUUUUAAAUUUGGAUGUAGUACAAUUUAUUUUUCCUUCUGUUGCCUGUGUUUUUGGUAUCUUAUCUAAGAUAUCAUUGCCAAAUCCAGUGUCAUGAAGACUUUCCCCUAUAUUUUCUUCUAAGAGUUUUAUAGUUUGAGGUCUUAUGUUUAGAUCUUUCAUCUAUUUUGAGUUAAUUUUUGUGUAUGUAAUAAGGUAAGGGUGUGAGUUCAUUCAUUUACGUGUGUGUAUCCAGUUCCAUCAUUUGUUGAAAAUACCAUCAUUUCCCUAAUGAAUGGUCUUGGCACCUUUAUUGAAGGUCAUUUGACCGUAUUCAUGAGGGUUUGUUUCUGGGCUCUGUAUUCUAUUCCAUUGGUCUUUGUGUCUGUCCUUAUGCUAAUACCACACUGUUUUGAUUACUGUAGCUUUGUAGUAAGUUUUGAAAUCAGGAAGUGUGAGUCCUUAAAUGUUGUUCUUUUUCCAGAUUGUUUUGGCUCUUUGGGCUCCUUAAAGAUCGAUAUAAAUCUUAUGAUAGAUUUCUCUGUUUCUGCAAACAAUGUCAUUGGGAUUUUUUUUUUCUUUUCUUUUUUUUUUUUGACAGGUCUUGUUCUGUCAUCUAGGCUGGAAUGCAAUGGUGUGAUCCUAGCUUACUGCGGCCUUGAACCCCUGGGUUCAAGCAGUUCUUUAGCCUCAGCCUCUGACUAGCUAGGAUUACAGAUACAUGCUACUAUGCCUGGCUGUCAUUGGGAUUUUAAUGAAAAGCUUUCAGUCUUUCACCAUUGAGUAUGAUGUUAUGGGCUUUUCACAUAUAGCUUUCAUCAUGUUGAGAAAGUUUCCUUCUUUUCCUAGUUUGAGUGUUUUUAUCAUGACAGACUAUUGAAUUUUGUUAAAUGUUUUUCCUGCAUCAUUUGACAUGAUUGUGAUUUUUGUCCUUUAUUCUAUUACUGUGGCGUAUUACAUUGAUUGAUUUUUGUACAUGGAACCAUCCUUGCAUUCCAGGAGUAAAAUCCCACUUGGUUAGGUUUAUAAUUCUUGUAAAAUGCAGCUGAAUUUGGUUUGCUAGUGUUUUUUUGUUUGUUUGUUUGUUUUGAGAAUUUUUGUUUCAGUAUUCAUAAGGGUUAUUGGCCUGUGGUUUUCUUUUCUUGUAGUGUCUUUUCCUGGCUUUGGUAUUAGGGUAAGGCUGACCUCAUAAAAUGAAUUAGGAAGUGUUCCUUCCUCUUUAUUUUUGGGAAAAGUUUGAGGACGAUUGGUGUUAAAAUUACUUGAAUGUUUGGUAGAAUACACCAGUGAAACCAUCUUUGCUGGAGGUUUUUGAUUACUGAUUCAGUUUUGUUGCUAGUUGUAAAUCUAAUCAAUGUUUUCUAUUUCUUCAUGAUUCAGUCUUGGUAGGUUGUGUGUUUCUAGGAAAUUUUUCCAUUUCAUCUGGGUUAUCUAAUUUGUUGGUGUAUAAUUCUUUAUGGUAGUCUGUUACCAUCUUUUUAUUUUAAUGUUAUACAAAGAAAAGGAAAACAAAUUGAGGUUUUUUUUUGUUCUGUUUUAUUGUUUGAUUGUUGUUUGGCUUGGUUAGAUUUUGUUUUGUGGUUCUUGGAUUUGUACCUAAUCUGUUGGAGUCAUCAGUCCACAAACCCAUGAAUUUCCUGAGCCAGUAAAAAUGCUUCCAAUGGGCAGCUGACAGAGGACUGCUACAGACAACUGGAGCUGCCUUAAUGCAUUUGGUGACUGCUGCACCUGCCCGCUGAGGCCCCUCAGCCUGGUGGACAGCUGUCUCCUACAGUGCCUCAGUGGGGCCGUAGGGCAUGGUAGGGCAGGGCUCCCAGGCCCUGUGGCUGUCUGCCUCUGAUCCCAGCCUAGCUGUGAACCCUGUCAGUUCGCUCCUCAGGGAUGCUUUGGUCCCUGUGCCCACCCCAGAGUACAGAGGACGGGGCUCAGCUCCAUGUCUGGGCCUUUUACACCCCGCCUCCGCCUCCACUGCGCCUGCCCUCCCUAAGGCAGGGCAUGGGCCACACGGCACCUUGCGGGGUGGGUGCCCGUCCCGGUAAGCCGUGGAGGCAAUGGGCCAGCCACCGCCACCAAUGUCCGGCCCACUUAGUAGGGCACUACACCUCUCCACACUCCUACAAACUUCAUGCUCAUCAUUGGGGGCGGAG
rnacentral:lncRNA from 1 species